rnacentral:rRNA from 1 species
UAAUUAAAAGAUUAAUAUUAGGAUUUCAUGAAAAUAUUCUUUUCUUUAGUAAUAGUUCGAAUAAGUUUAUUUUUUAUAGUUUAUUAGUAUAGAAUUAGAAUUUUUUGUUUUAAAAAAAAGAAGAUUUUAUUUUUCGUACCUUGUGUAUCAGGGUUUAAAAAUUUAAAAUUGAUAAUUCAGUUUUCCCGAAUCAUUGAGUUCUAUUUUAUUAUUUUUAAAAAUGUUGAAUAAUUUUAUUUAAUAAUAUUUUAGAAAUGAAACGUUUUCGUUCUUUGAGAUAUCUGGUUUUUUAAGAUAAAAGUUUAAUUUUAUUUACUUUGAUUUGUUAAUCUUUUCUUGGUUAGUCAUUUGAGAGUAGUUUUAUAACUAAGGGGUUCAGCUUUUGGUUAUUACUAAAUUAUUAUUAUUAUUUAUUUUAAGUACAAUUAUAAUUGUUGAUCUUUUAAAUAAUUUUAUAUUUAAGAAUAAUUUUAUUAAGAUUUUAUAUUUAUUAGUUUUUAUAUUAAAAUUUAAUUUUUAAUUUUUUUUUGUUAGUAAUAAUGUUAAAAUUAGUAAAUUUUUUGGUGUUUUGUUUUAUUAUUGUUAGUUUAGUAAAAGGAACUCGGCAAAUAAAUUUUCCGCCUGUUUAAUAAAAACAUGUCCUUUUGAUAAUAAUUUAAGGUUUAAUCUGCUCAAUGAAGUUUUAAAUAGCCGCGGUAUUUUGACCGUGCAAAGGUAGCAUAAUAAUUAGUUUCUUUAUUGGGAGCUUGUAUGAAUGAUUGGACGAGAAAAAUACUGUCUCUUUCUUAUAAAUUGAAAUUAACUUUUUAGUGAAAAGGCUUAAAUUAAAGUUAAAGACGAGAAGACCCUAUAGAGUUUAAUUUUGUUGUAUUUAUAAUUAAAUUAGAAUUUUAAAUUUAUAUUUAUUACUUAAUUUGAUUGGGGUGAUUUUUGGAUUUGUAAAACUCCUAUAGCUUAUAAUCAUUAAUUUAUGAAUUUUGAUUCUAGAAUUAUUUAAUUUUAAAAUAAAUUACCUUAGGGAUAACAGCGUAAUUUUACUUUAGAGUUCAUAUUGAAAGUAGAGUUUGCGACCUCGAUGUUGGAUUAAAAUUAAUUGCUGGCGCAGAAGCUGGUAAAUUGAGUCUGUUCGACUUUUAAAAUUUUACAUGAUCUGAGUUUAAACCGGUGUGAGCCAGGUUGGUUUCUAUCUUAAUUAAAUUAAGGAUUUUUAGUACGAAAGGACCAAUUUCUUAAUAUUUUAUUUUGUUUUAUGAAUAUGAUU